rnacentral:rRNA from 1 species
CCUACGAGUGGCAGCAGUCGAGAAUCAUUCACAAUGGGGGAAACCCUGAUGGUGCGACGCCGCGUGGGGGAAUGAAGGUCUUCGGAUUGUAAACCCCUGUCAUGUGGGAGCAAAUUCAAAAGAUAGUACCACAAGAGGAAGAGACGGCUAACUCGGUGCCAGCAGCCGCGGUAAUACAGAGGUCUCAAGCGUUGUUCGGAAUCAAUGGGCGUGAAGCGUGUGUAGGGUGUUUCGUAAGUCGUGUGUGAAAGGUGCGGGCGCAACCCGCAGACAGCAAAUGAUACUGCGAGAAUAGAGUAAUGGAGGGGGACGCGGAAUGCUCGGUGUAGCAGUGAAAUGCGUAGAUAUCGAGCGGAACACUCGUGGCGAAGGCAGGUUCCUGGACAUUAACUGACGCUGAGGCACGAAGGCCAGGGGAGCGAAAGGGAUUAGAUACCCGUGUAGUC